GGCGUCGAGCGGCGGACGGGUGAGUAAUACUUAGGAAUCUACCUAGUAGUGGGGGAUAGCACGGGGAAACUCGUAUUAAUACCGCAUACGACCUACGGGAGAAAGGGGGCAGUUUACUGCUCUCGCUAUUAGAUGAGCCUAAGUCGGAUUAGCUAGAUGGUGGGGUAAAGGCCUACCCAUGGCGACGAUCUGUAGCUGGUCUGAGAGGAUGAUCAGCCACACCGGGACUGAGACACGGCCCGGACUCCUACGGGAGGCAGCAGUGGGGAAUAUUGGACAAUGGGGGAAACCCUGAUCCAGCCAUGCCGCGUGUGUGAAGAAGGCCUUUUGGUUGUAAAGCACUUUAAGCAGUGAAGAAGACUCCACGGUUAAUACCCGUGGACGAUGACAUUAGCUGCAGAAUAAGCACCGGCUAACUCUGUGCCAGCAGCCGCGGUAAUACAGAGGGUGCAAGCGUUAAUCGGAAUUACUGGGCGUAAAGCGAGCGUAGGUGGCUUGAUAAGUCAGAUGUGAAAUCCCCGGGCUUAACCUGGGAACUGCAUCUGAAACUGUUAGGCUAGAGUAGGUGAGAGGAAGGUAGAAUUCCAGGUGUAGCGGUGAAAUGCGUAGAGAUCUGGAGGAAUACCGAUGGCGAAGGCAGCCUUCUGGCAUCAUACUGACACUGAGGCUCGAAAGCGUGGGUAGCAAACAGGAUUAGAUACCCUGGUAGUCCACGCCGUAAACGAUGUCUACUAGUCGUUGGGUCCCUUGAGGACUUAGUGACGCAGCUAACGCAAUAAGUAGACCGCCUGGGGGAGUACGGGCCGCAAGGUUAAAACUCAAAUGGAUUUGACGGGGGGCC
rnacentral:rRNA from 1 species